CUGAAGAAGGGCCCGUGGACGCCGGAUGAGGACCAGCUGUUGGUGGAGCACGUACGGCGGCACGGCGAAGGGAGCUGGAACGCGGUGCGGCGGGAGACAGGGCUGCUGCGCUGCGGCAAGAGUUGCCGGCUCCGGUGGGCCAACCACCUUCGCCCCAACCUCAAGCGGGGCCCCUUCUCGCCGGAGGAGGAGCGCCUCAUCCUCCGCCUCCACGCGCUCAUUGGCAACAAGUGGGUGCGCAUCUCCGCACACCUGCCGGGGAGGACGGAC
rnacentral:rRNA from 1 species